AAUGAACGCUGGCGGCAGGCCUAACACAUGCAAGUCGAACGGCAGCACAGUAAGAUCUUGCUCUUACGGGUGGCGCGUGGCGGACGGGUGAGGAAUACAUCAGAAUCUACUUAUUCUGGGGGGAUUACGUAGGAAAACUUACGCUAAUACCGCAUAUGACCUACGGGUGAAUGCACGGGUUCUUCGGAACUUGCGCGUCUGAAUGAGCAGAAGUCGGAUUAGCUAGUUGGCGGGGUAAAGGCCCACCAACGCGACGAUCCGUAGCUGAUCUGACAGGAUGGUCAGCCAGACUGGAAGUGAGACACGGUCCAGACUCCGACGGGAGGCAGCAGUGGGGAAUCUUAGGCAAUGGGCGCAAGCCUGAUACAGCAAUACCGCGUGAGUGAUGAAGGACUUCGGGUGGUAAAGUCCUGUUGUUGGGAAAGAAGAGAAGCUGUUUAAACCAUGGAUGUACUGACGGUACCCAAAGAAUAAGCCCCGGCUAACUUCGUG
rnacentral:rRNA from 1 species